GACGAACGCUGGCGGCGUGCUUAACACAUGCGAGUCGAACGGAAAGGCCCUGCUUUUGUGGGGUGCUCGAGUGGCGAACGGGUGAGUAACACGUGAGUAACCUGCCCUUGACUUUGGGAUAACUUCAGGAAACUGGGGCUAAUACCGGAUAGGAGCUCCUGCUGCAUGGUGGGGGUUGGAAAGUUUCGGCGGUUGGGGAUGGACUCGCGGCUUAUCAGCUUGUUGGUGGGGUAGUGGCUUACCAAGGCUUUGACGGGUAGCCGGCCUGAGAGGUUGACCGGCCACAUUGGGACUGAGAUACGGCCCAGACUCCUACGGGAGGCAGCAGUGGGGAAUAUUGCACAAUGGGCGGAAGCCUGAUGCAGCAACGCCGCGUGCGGGAUGACGGCCUUCGGGUUGUAAACCGCUUUCGCCUGUGACGAAGCGUGAGUGACGGUAAUGAGUAAAGAAGCACCGGCUAACUACGUG
rnacentral:rRNA from 1 species